rnacentral:rRNA from 1 species
UACGAAGGGGGCUAGCGUUGUUCGGAAUUACUGGGCGUAAAGCGUGCGCAGGCGGUUUUGUAAGCCAGAUGUGAAAUCCCCGGGCUUAACCUGGGAAUGGCAUUUGGGACUGCAAGGCUUGAGUUUGGCAGAGGAGACUGGAAUUCCUGGUGUAGCAGUGAAAUGCGUAGAUAUCAGGAGGAAUACCGAUGGCGAAGGCAGGUCUCUGGGCUGACACUGACGCUCAUGCACGAAAGCGUGGGGAGCAACAGG